rnacentral:rRNA from 1 species
GAUGAACGCUGGCGGCGUGCCUAACACAUGCAAGUCGAACGGACAGAUAAUGAGCUUGUGCCUUUGCCGUUAGCGGCGGGCGGGUGAGUAACGCGUGGGUCAGCAACUUCUAUUUCUGGGAGAAUUACGUGAAAAAGGUUCCAAUACCAGAUCAUACUUGGAACCGCAUGGUUCUAAGGAGAUUCGUGGCUUUGCUGUCAGUAAUAGCCGAUCCCGGGCUGUAUUAGCUGGUUGGUAAGGUAACGGCCUACCAAGGCGACGAAACGUAGCCGACCUGAGGGGGUGAUCGGCCACACUGGAACUGAGACACGGUCCAGACUCCUACGGGAGGCAGCAGUGGGGAAUGUUGGGCAAUGGGCGAAAGCCUGACGCAGCCAUGCCGCGUGGGUGAUGAAGGCUUUCGGCUCGUAAAGCCCUGUUGUUGGGGAAGAACAGAUGUGGAAUAAAACGUGGAUGUUUUGACGGUACCUAAUCAAAAAGCACCGGCUAACUACGUG